AACGAACGCUGGCGGCAGGCUUAACACAUGCAAGCCGAGCGCAUCCUUCGGGGUGAGCGGCAGACGGGUGAGUAACACGUGGGAAUCUACCCAACCCUACGGAAUAGCUCCGGGAAACUGGAAUUAAUACCGUAUACGCCCUUAGGGGGAAAGAUUUAUCGGGGAUGGAUGAGCCCGCGUUGGAUUAGCUAGUUGGUGGGGUAAAGGCCUACCAAGGCGACGAUCCAUAGCUGGUCUGAGAGGAUGAUCAGCCACAUUGGGACUGAGACACGGCCCAAACUCCUACGGGAGGCAGCAGUGGGGAAUAUUGGACAAUGGGCGCAAGCCUAAUCCAGCCAUGCCGCGUGAGUGAUGAAGGCCUUAGGGUUGUAAAGCUCUUUCACCGGAGAAGAUAAUGACGGUAUCCGGAGAAGAAGCCCCGGCUAACUUCGUGCCAGCAGCUGCGGUAA
rnacentral:rRNA from 1 species